rnacentral:rRNA from 1 species
CCUACGGGAGGCAGCAGUGGGGAAUAUUGGACAAUGGGCGCAAGCCUGAUCCAGCAAUGCCGCGUGUGUGAAGAAGGCCUUAGGGUUGUAAAGCACUUUCAGUGGGGAGGAAGGGUUUAAUGCUAAUAUCAUUAAACAUUGACGUUACCCACAGAAGAAGCACCGGCUAACUCUGUGCCAGCAGCCGCGGUAAUACAGAGGGUGCGAGCGUUAAUCGGAAUUACUGGGCGUAAAGCGUGUGUAGGUGGUUAGAUAAGUUAGAUGUGAAAUCCCUGGGCUUAACCUGGGCACUGCGUUUAAGACUGUUUAGCUAGAGUACUGUAGAGGAUAGUGGAAUUUCCAGUGUAGCGGUGAAAUGCGUAGAUAUUGGAAGGAACACCAGUGGCGAAGGCGACUAUCUGGACAGAUACUGACACUGAGACACGAAAGCGUGGGGAGCAAACAGGAUUAGAUACCCUGGUAGUCCAUGCUGUAACUAAUAGAGAACUUAGUCUGUUGGUAGUGCAUAAAGGUACGUAUUUAAGUUAAGUACGAAGACGUAACCGUACGGUUAACGGUUUACGUUCCCGUCCCGUCGGGGUAGGGUACGGGCCCGGCCGACGGACGUAAACCGUUAACCGAACGUAGUAAGUUAGUACGGUACGUUAGGAGACGUUAGGCCGACGGACGACCGACGAGGGGAGGGUUAGGGUAG